UGGACAGAUUAUUGUAUUCGACUGUAUUCACGACGUGAAAUAGGGUAUUACACUGUUUUUAAACGGAAAGUGAAUCAAUUAACAUAAUAGACUCCU
rnacentral:pre_miRNA from 1 species